AUCUAGCACACUGCAGGCUCUCAAUUAAUGUCACAUCAUCAGGUUUCCUUAAGACGCUCACCGGCUCCCUCAGAGACACCCAAAGGGAAGAGCCACAGGAAUCGGAAUAUUUUACAACAUGAAUGUCCCACUAAAAUUCCAAAGUGGUGUCAUGGAUGGCGGAAGAUUUCUGCCUGUUUAUUGGAAAGGGGCACUUGAUUUUACUUGGUUGCAAGUUUAUGUGCUGAAAAAUGUUUUCUGUGGUCUCAGCUUUAAUGUAUUAUUAAGACAUGUUACGUGGUCUACAAAACUGACUUGGAACGAGGCAACAUCACUUGAGAUUCUGUUUUGGGAACAAAAGUGAGAAGAUCCAAAGGAAAAAGCAAGACUCUGGCAGAUCUACAAAGAGAGGAGGACCACUGCGUGCCAGAGAGAGAUUUCCCAUCUGAAAUGGACAUGGCAAUGGGCUAUCAUAGAGAUCAGCAAGCUGCAGUCCAUGGGCCAAAUCUGACAUAUGGCCUGUUCUGUGAAUAAAGUUUUAUUGGAACACA